GUAAGACUGGGAUAACUUCGGGAAACCGGAGCUAAUACCGGAUAACUUCAGACACCACCUGGUGACUGAAUAAAAGAUGGCUUAGGCUAUCACUUACAGAUGGGCCCGCGGCGCAUUAGCUAGUUGGUGAGGUAACGGCUCACCAAGGCGACGAUGCGUAGCCGACCUGAGAGGGUGAUCGGCCACACUGGGACUGAGACACGGCCCAGACUCCUACGGGAGGCAGCAGUAGGGAAUCUUCCGCAAUGGACGAAAGUCUGACGGAGCAACGCCGCGUGAGCGAUGAAGGCCUUCGGGUCGUAAAGCUCUGUUGUUAGGGAAGAACAAGUACCGUUCGAAUAGGGCGGUACCUUGACGGUACCUAACCAGAAAGCCACGGCUA
rnacentral:rRNA from 1 species